rnacentral:rRNA from 1 species
UACAGAGGUCCCAAGCGUUGUUCGGAUUCAUUGGGCGUAAAGGGUGCGUAGGCGGCGGGGUAAGUUGGAUGUGAAAUCUCGGGGCUCAACCCCGAAACUGCAUUCAAUACUGCCUUGCUUGAGUACUGGAGAGGAGACUGGAAUUCAUGGUGUAGCAGUGAAAUGCGUAGAUAUCAUGAGGAACACCGGUGGCGAAGGCGGCAUCCUGGACCAACAUUGACGCUGAGGAGCGAAAGCUAGGGGAGCAAACGGG